AAUAGAUACCCAGGUAGUCCACGCCGUAAACGAUGGAUGCUAGCUGUUAUGCGUAUCGACCCGUGUAGUUGCGAAGCUAACGCGUUAAGCAUCCCGCCUGGGGAGUACGAACGCAAGUUUAAAACUCAAAGGAAUUGACGGGGACCCGCACAAGCGGUGGAGCGUGUUCUUUAAUUCGAGGCUAAGCGAAGAACCUUACCAGGGCUUGACAUCCUUGGAAUUUCUCCGAAAGGAGAGAGUACUUUAUUGGACCAAGUGACAGGUGCCGCAUGGCCGUCGUCAGCUCGUGUCGUGAGAUGUUUGGUUAAGUCCAUUAACGAGCGCAACCCUUAUGAAUAGUUGUAUUUUUCUAUUCAGACUGCCCCGGUAACGGGGAGGAAGGGGGGAUGAUGUCAGGUCAGUAUUGCCCUUACGCCCUGGGCUAGAAACGCGCUACAAUGGCCGGUACAAUGCGCUGCCAACCCGCGAGGGGGAGCAAAUCGCAUCAAAGCCGGUCCCAGUUCGGAUAAGAGGCUGAAACUCGCCUCUUUGAAGCCGGAAUCGCUAGUAAUCGU
rnacentral:rRNA from 1 species